rnacentral:lncRNA from 12 species
CACACACACACACACACACACACACACACACACACACACACACACACACACACACACACACACACACACACACACACACACACACACACACACACACACACACACACACACACACACACACACACACACACACACACACACACACAACACACACACACACACACACACACACACACACAAACCAUUCUUAAACCUGUUUUACACUGUGAAUGAACACUGUACACUUGUAUGUGAGGACUUGAGAAUGCAUUAUGACAUGCUUGUAUGUUUCAGUGAUAUUAUUUAUUUAAUUAUUAUUAUUAUUUUUAUUAAUAUUAUUAUUAAUUUUUUUUAAUGUCUCAACUCGUUCCCAGGAGGCGCAUUGCAGAUCUCGAAUCCAGAAAUGUCAAUGGGUGAGCAUUAACACUGGUUUUACCUGGGAACAUUAUUGUACCUUAGUCGGACUUUAAAAUUCUUUUAAAAUGAAGCUUUUUUGAGUCAAUGUCAGUGAACUUUGAUACACCAGGUACUGUAUAUAACAUCAAGACUUAUUUUUAUUUAUUUAUUUAUUUCAAUAGAAAAUGAAUAGAAGACACAUAAGAAAGAAAUAUAAAAUUCAUUGGGUUAUUAAUACAUGUUACAAUUGAACAUUUUUUAUACAAUAUUUAACAUAUUUUAAAGAAAAGCAUCUUCGUUUAAAGAUGCUUCCUGCUGAUAAAAGCACACAGAUCUGUUUUCAAUAUCUAAUAAUACAGUUCCUAAUUAGAAUAGUUAAAACACGACAAUAAAACAUGACAAUAAGAUGCCAUACGUCAACAAUGUGACUGAAAGUAAAAAAAAUCAUCAUAAUUGUUUUACUAAGUCUUAAAUGUUUUUUAGAAUGUGGAGUCGACUAUCAAGAAUGUCUCGCAGGUAAUUAGUAUAUAUCNUGGAGCUGCUCUUUUGGUUGGAUUAAUGUGUUUCUUCAUUGUUAAGAGAUACAAGAAGCGCAUUGCAGAUCUCGAAUCCAGAAAUGACAAUGGAAUGUGGAGUCGACUAUCAAGAAUGUCUCGCAGGUUUCGUUCAGGUGACGCCAGCAGUGGUCCUGGUGGCAGACAGCAGAGGCAAGUACACAACAGGGUCUAAUGUGUUCUUCUGCAACAAACCAGGACACAACAGAUCCUCUGGUGGAAAAAUACUGAAUCUAUGGCAUGUUUUAGAUUGUAGUUAUGUUUUUUUUUUUUUUUGUACAAAGACAUAGUUAUGUGUUAUGUUUAAAAUUAUUAGCAGGAUUUGAAGGUGUAGGACACAACAAUUAUUUUAGAUUAAUCUAUUCAUAAUGUACAGAUGCCAUGAAUUUGUAUAUAAAACAGAGUUGUUCUGAUGACAGGUGGUUUUAGGGGGGAGUGAGUCAUAAUGUAAUGUAUUUUUGAUAAAAUAUUAUUAUAAUUAUUUGCUUUUAAUUUUGACAUGUAAUUUUCAAGAGUAAUAGCAAUUAAAGAUUAAUGUAAUAUCCCAUGUCUGUAGAAUUAAUAUAUUUCUUGUAAAUUUAAUUUUAAUAUGAGCAUAGUGUUAAUGUUUGUACGUUUUUGUGUCUUAUAUGUAAGCAAAGGGUAACACUUUAUUUUAGGGUCUCUUAGUUGCUUAUUAGCAUGCAUAUUACUAGAAUAUUAGCCAUUUAUUAGUACUAAUUAAGCACAUAUUAAUGCCUUAUUCUACAUGACUUUAUUCUACAUCCCUAAUCUUACCUCUGCUCUACUACCUUACUAACUAUUAAUAAGCAGCAAAUUAGGAAUUUAUUGAGGGAAAAGUCGUAGUUAAUAGUGAAUAAGUAUUCCCUAUUCUAAAGUGUUAUCCGUGUUUCUUACNACAUAUGCAACAAUGCCAGACCACAUACUGCAUCAAUUACAACAUCAUGGCUGCAUAGAAGAAGGAUCCAGGUACUAAAAUGGCCAGCCUGCAGUCCAGAUCUUUCACCCAUAGAAACAUUUGGCGCAUCAUAAAGAGGAAGAUGUGACAAAGAAGACCUAAGACAGUUGAGCAACUAAAAGCCUGUAUUAGACAAGAAUGGGACAACAUUCCUAUUCCUAAACUUUGCAACUUGUCUCCUCAGUCCCCAGACGUUUGCAGACUGUUAUAAAAAGAAGAGGGGAUGCCACACAGUGGUAAACAUGGCCUUGUCCCAACUUUUUUGAGAUGUGUUGAUGCCACAAAAUUUAAAAUCAACUUAUUUUAUUUUAUCUAUGUUGUAUUCUGAAUAAAAUAUUGAAAUUUGAAACUUCCACAUCAUUGCAUUCUGUUUUUAUUCACAAUUUGUACAGUGACCCAACUUUUUUCUACAUCCCUAAUCUUACCUCUGCUCUACUACCUUACUAACUAUUAAUAAGCAGCAAAUUAGGAAUUUAUUGAGGGAAAAGUCGUAGUUAAUAGUGAAUAAGUGUUCCCUAUUCUAAAGUGUUACCCGUGUUGCUUACAGUAUAUUUGGUUAUUGAAAAAGUUGCCACAGUGCUGUUCUAAAGAAGUCUAUAUUCAGCACAGAAUACAGCAUUCGUUUUUAAAUAAAGAUAGAAAUGUUUCAUUACCAUUUCACAAGCUGUUAAAUNCGGAGGUCCAAUGCCAAUAAAUGUUUUUGUGAAUGUUUAUUCUGUAAAACAGUAAAGCAUGGCACUAGCAAUGCCAGUGCCAUGGGUUUGCUUCUCAGAGAAAGCAUGAACUGAUGAAAUGGUAUAUAAAGGAAAUGUAUGAGUAUAUAAACAGAAUGAAUAUAUAAACAUCCUUUUUUUCUGUCCACAUCCACCGUGUUAUGUACAUUUACUUCAAUAUACCGCAGUUUUUUUUUUUUUUUUUUGUCAUGUUUUACUGAAGUAUGACAGAGGUUUCUGAAUCUUAACAGGGCAAACAACGUAUGUACAGUGUCAGGAAACAAGCCUUUCUCCAAAGCUCCAAUGCCAUCACCAAAGAGGUAUGGAGCAUAUGAAAUAUCUUACUGAUUACCCAGAAUCAUGGCACUGAAUGACUCAUAUCUGUACUCAGUACUCAAAUAUUCUCUUUGCUACAACAGUCCAGUAUCUUG